GACGAACGCUGGCGGCGUGCUUAACACAUGCAAGUCGAACGGAAAGGCCCUGCUUUUGUGGGGUGCUCGAGUGGCGAACGGGUGAGUAACACGUGAGUAACCUGCCCUUGACUUUGGGAUAACUUCAGGAAACUGGGGCUAAUACCGGAUAGGAGCUCCUGCUGCAUGGUGGGGGUUGGAAAGUUUCGACGGUUGGGGAUGGACUCGCGGCUUAUCAGCUUGUUGGUGGGGUAGUGGCUUACCAAGGCUUUGACGGGUAGCCGGCCUGAGAGGGUGACCGGCCAAAUGGGGACGGAGAUAGGGCCCAGACUCCCAGGGGAGGAAGAGGGGGGGAAUAUUGAAAAAGGGGCGGAAGCCUGAUGCAUCAACGCCGCGUGCGGGAUGACGGCCUUGGGGUUGAAAACCGUUUUCGCCUGGGACGAAGGGGGGGUGAGGGUAAUGGGUAAAGAAGCACCGGCUAACUACGG
rnacentral:rRNA from 1 species